AUUGAACGCUGGCGGCAGGCCUAACACAUGCAAGUCGAACGAGUGGCGGACGGGUGAGUAAUGUCUGGGAAACUGCCUGAUAGAGGGGGAUAACUACUGGAAACGGUAGCUAAUACCGCAUACCAUCGGAUGUGCCCAGAUGGGAGUAGCUAGUAGGUGGGGUAAAGGCCCACCUAGGCGACGAUCCCUAGCUGGUCUGAGAGGAUGACCAGCCACACUGGAACUGAGACACGGUCCAGACUCCGACGGAAGGCAGCAGUGGGGAAUAUUACACAAGGGCCGCAAACCUGAUGCAGCCAUGCCGCGUGUAUGAAGAAGGCCUUCGGGUUGUAAAGUACUUUAAGUUGGGAGGCGUUACCAACAGAAUAAGCACCGGCUAACUUCGUGCCAGCAGCCGCGGUAAUAC
rnacentral:rRNA from 1 species